ACUCAAAGGAAUUGACGGGGGCCCGCACAAGCGGCGGAGCAUGUGGCUUAAUUCGAGGCAACGCGAAGAACCUUACCUGGGCUUGACAUUUAGGGAAAAGCCGUAGAGAUACGGUGUCCUUCGGGGUCCUAAACAGGUGGUGCAUGGCUGUCGUCAGCUCGUGUCGUGAGAUGUUGGGUUAAGUCCCGCAACGAGCGCAACCCUUGUCCGAUGUUACCAGCGGGUUAUGCCGGGGACUCGUCGGAGACUGCCGGGGUCAACUCGGAGGAAGGUGGGGAUGACGUCAAGUCAUCAUGCCCCUUACGUCCAGGGCUGCACACAUGCUACAAUGGCCGGUACAACGGGCUGCUAUCCCGCGAGGGGGAGCCAAUCCCAAAAGCCGGUCUCAGUUCGGAUUGCAGUCUGCAACUCGACUGCAUGAAGUCGGAGUCGCUAGUAAUCCCGGAUCAGCAACGCCGGGGUGAAUACGUUCCCGGGCCUUGCACACACCGCCCGU
rnacentral:rRNA from 1 species